rnacentral:lncRNA from 1 species
GGGAGUACUACCUUUCCCCACUUGACCACAGUGUCACCUCAUUGGCCCCCACUGGACCACAGCCAUCAUCCAAUAAGAUGAUACCGCAGUCAAGUGGGGGUGUUUACUUCACAGUAGAAUAUAAGCUGCUGGUUCGAGCUUCCCAAACAACCUCUGAUCCUUGUCUUGUCAAGAUUAGCGACUUCCUUGACUUUCUCUUCUCCAGGAACCAGAGAUCUUCUUGACUGUCUGAGAUGGCUUCUUCUUCUUCUUCUUCUGCUGAACAAGCUCGCAAUAGGACCUUCCUCCUGUGUCCUAUAUGUAAGAAGACUCAUUGGAGCCUUCGAGUUCAUCUCAGAAGAGCCUGCACGAAGAACUCUUCAGAAGCUGACAUUCUGGCUGUGGUGCGAUCUUCCAAGAGAGCUACGAGCGAUUUGCUGCGUACUGGCCGUGUCUGGGAGUGCUCUCUCCUCAGAAGCAUCGUGCAGAGCCCUGACCCUGUUGGCAGGAUGAUCGAGGAGCUGUAG